GGGGGGGGGAGCUAUUGCUAUUGUCGGGGUCGCCUUCGUUCUCAGGUAUGACCAAGAGGGAGUUCGUUAAUCAUUGAGGAAAUGUGGAUACUUCACUUUUCUGUUCAGUUUCCAUCUUUGUAAUGUAAUGGCAACACCCUGCCCCAAACCAUGGAGACGUGCCAUAGGAAACGAAUGGAGCAUCGUGGAACUCGGACACGGCCCGAAGCCUCAAUGUCACCACCAGACAGAAGCUGGAAGGACCAAAGUAGCUCCUGGGGGAGGUCCCUGGCCUCACGUUAAGACUGGAGGCAGUGUUUGGGACGCCUGGAGAGGCAGAUCCUUCAUGCUGGGAGUCUCAGGUCCAAGAGUGCCAGGGGUCGGAGCUGACCCUCUGAGAGCCCUGCCUGUUAGACCUUGACUCGGAACUGAUCUCGGCCCUUUCCUGCUUCAGCCUAGUUCCAUCCUCCUGCAGGUGUUCGCCCAGUGCUCAAGGAACUGAAUAUCGGGAAUGCCUGACCCGGGAAGGAGUGCCCAGGAGGCCUGGGGAAUUCUGACUCUGCCGGUUGAACGAGUAGCUGGCAGCUCUCCAGCUAACAACCCCCCAUACACUCCCAUCCCACAGCUCAUUGGUGUUAAUCAUCAAAUCAGAGGCCUUGGAGAUCUUUGAGGCCAACCCCCCCCCCAUUUUAGAGAUAGGGAACUGAGGUUCAGAAGAGCCAAGUGAUUUUCCCAAGGUCCCAUGGGGAUUAUGAGGAGCGGCAGCAUUGGAAUGGAGGUGCUGUGCCUCCAUUCGUCAUCCCCCUUGCUCCUUACAGUUCACAAAUCCAUCUCAUGACAAUUCCUUUGUGAGGCAGGAAGCUCAGCUCUUUCCCUCAUUGACUGAUCAACCAAUGAGGAUAUUCAGGCUGAAGGGGGGAAAGUCCCACCACAAUCAUACUAGGAAGGAAGGGUCAGAGCAAAUCCUGAUGGAGGAAAUCUAAGAAAAGGGCACAGUGAGUCACGUUUCCAGCCAAGACUGGCACUGGAAGACAGGUCUUCAGACACGGAGGGCCAGGUCUGGCCAAGAGGGGUUAUGGGCAACCCUGCAGGGCAAGGAGAAGCUAUGCAAGAAGAGGCACCAGAGCCAUACUAAGGCCCAGAAAUGGGAACGAGUAUCAACUGGCAGCAUGGUCACCCACUGUUUAUUCCAGAUCACAAAUACAAGUAGACUGAGGAAGAAAUCUGUGCCCAGAGGUGGCACUCAGCUGCGGGGUAAGAGCAGUCUUUGCCCUAGCAUCAAGUCCAGAAGUCAGGAGGCAAGGCGGAAGGAUGAGGAAACAAAAAAAAGAACCCCGCCAUAAAAAGCUAUUAUGGUGUCGGAGACACUCAAGUCACAAACUUAGAAGGCGAGAAUGACUCCCAAACAUCUACAAGCAAAGGAAAAUAGAGUGUGGGCACAAAUUCAGCUAAAAUCCAGGAAAUCAUUGAAAUUAAAUUUUAGAAAGAGUAGAAAAUAUUUUUAUAAGUAGAAUGAGAAAUCUUAAGGAAAAUACUGAAAAAGAAAUGAGAGACACAGGAGAAAAAAAUGGAUGGGGAAUUAAAAGUUUGGCACCAGUAGUAUAAAACUUUGCCCAGGCAACAAACUCCUGAAAAUAGAAUGAACCACAUAGAAGCCAUUGACUCGAUGAAGUAAUAAGAAAUAUUAAAACAGUUUUAAAAGACUAAAAAUAUUGGAGAAAAUGUAAACUAUCUCAUAGCAAAAAUAACUGACCUUGAAAACAGUCCCAAGAGAGAGAAUCUGAGAACCACAGAUUACCUGGAAGUCAUGACCAAAAAAAACCCCAUGUAUCCUAUUUCAAGAAGUCAUAAAAGAAAUUUGCCCAGAUCUCUUAGAACCGGGUGGCAAAGUAGAAAUAGCAAGAAUCCACUGGUCAUUUUUUGAGAGAAACCUCCAAAUGAAAACCCUCAGGAAUAUCAUUGCCAGAAUCCAGAACUCCUAUCCCAAAUAAAGAAAAUGCUGCAAGCACCCUGAAAGAAAGGAUUUAAGUAAUGAAAGCCAUAAUCACUCAUGAUCUGGCAGCUACCACGAUCCUGGAGCAGAGAGCUUGGAAUAUAAUAUUCCAGAAGGCAAAGAACAUGGAUUUACCACCCAGAAUCAUUUGCCCAGAAAAACUUAGUAUAAUCUUUCAGGGAGGGGAAGAAAAAGAUCUUUAAUGACGCAGAGGGCUUCCAGGCCCGCCUGAUAAAAAGACCAGAGCCAAGGAGAAACUGUGAAGUUCAAACACAGCUAUGAAAAGAAACAAAGAAGUAAACAUGAAUAAACAGUGAUAAAGAUUAAACAAGGAUCAGCUGCUUCGUUCUAAUUUUGGGAAGGGAGUCCCUUCUGAGACCUCUCAUCAUCAGCGGUCAUAGGAAAAGACUAAUUAAACAAGAGAGGUUCUGUUAUGUCUUGGUUGAGGAGAAGGGAAGAAGAAGGUUAGGGGAAAUUAUAUCACAUAAGGAGCAUAUAUACAUAGACAUCUAUAGAAACAAGAAGUGAGGGGGUGGGGAGGGACUGAAAUUUGAACCUCCCUCUUAUCUGAACUGGUCAAAGGAAGAAAGAACACACACACACACACACACACACACACCCACCAUGGGGGACAGAAAUAUAAUUUUAAAAAUAUAAUAAACAUUUAUAUAACACUUAUUAUGUGCCAGGCACUGUGCUGAAUGCUUCCCAAAUAGCAUUCACUUGAUCCUCACAACACCCCUAGGAGGUAGGUGCUAUUAUGAUUCCCC
ensembl:lncRNA